GGAAUUGACUGUAAAUACAUUUUAGCAGAAAUGCAUUAUUGUGUAUUAAUGAUAUAUUUUUGGGUAAUAGGGUAAAGUGUGCAUCUUUAGGUGAAGGCAUUUAAAAGCAG